rnacentral:lncRNA from 1 species
AUGGGGCCUCCGAGAGCCGCCAUUCCCAUCACCGUCCCCGGAAGCCGACCUACUAACGGCUGGCCCGCCCCUGGCGCAUGCUCAAUGGAGCCCAACGGCCGCCGGCUCGAGGUGCCUAACCGUCCCGCUGUUGUGCGCCCACUCCUCCCGCUGCACCGCACCCCGCAGCUUCCCUUUCGGCGAACCCACAGCCCCGCACCGCGGCCCCGGCCUCGGGACCCGCCACUUACCUGCCGCCCGGUUCGCCUCCGCGAGCUGCAAAGAGAGCCACCCGUCCGGUUCUACGCCGCGACCCUGGACGCGCGCUACAGUGCUUCCUGCCUGGAGCCCAACUCGAGUCUCGCUCACUGGAUAGCUGGCUUAUCACUCAACAGAGGAAGGGAUGAUGAUCGCAACCUGUACAAAGACCCUAUGGCUGGCAGCAAUAUGAAAAGACCAGAGUGGCUGGACAGACUACCUUGAAGGCCAAAUGAGGCUGAGAAACCUCUUCUACGGCUGCUUCAAAGGCAAGCCCAGACUCUCCAGCACGGAGAAGCAGAACACAGUGAUAGGUAACAUAUCUGAGGCCCAGAGUAGGCUGGAGAUCGGCCAGGGAUGCCUCAGGGAUCUGGUGGGACUUUUAUCAUUGCUAUGUGGAGAUUUUACAAUACAUUCUUUGUCUGUCCCUUUUAAAGCCUAGAGUACAGCUCUGUUCCCAGUCCACCCAAAUCCCUAGCAGAUUGUGAUAAAGACUCACUGAGUAAAUGAAUGCCGGAAGGUUAAGGAGACUCUGGCUGGAUUCCCAAGCCUCAUCCCCAGAGGCUGCUCAGAACCUGGCAAGCAGGGCUCUGGGCAAAGCUUUCUCCUGCCAACUCCCUCCGUGCCCUCCUCAUCUGUAAGAUGGGUGGGUUCCUUGCCUGAUAUGCAAGGGACCAUGAACAUCCUGGCUUUAUUAUGAAAGCAAGGGGCGUCUCUCUUUUGUCAAUCUGCAAAAAGGAAGUUAGAUGACUAGUGUGGCAAGCUAUUUAACUCACUCCACCAACAUUUGAGCUAUAAUGAGGGUGUCAACUUGCUGAAGCAGCGAGUGGUGAGUGACCAAGGGCGGCAGGUGACACAGGACCUGGUGGGCUCCUCCUGGAAAUGUCUAGACUUUAGGCCCCGUUGGUAUGCGGUUUGGGGAAGAGACUGUAAGGAGGAGGAGGCUGGGGGACAAGGAAGUAAGCCUCUACUGUAGUCUUGAGAGUUCAGUGAUGGAGUGUUGGGCCUGUUCAGGGCUUAGGAAGGUGAGUUUGGGUGCCCCCCCCAAAUGAUAGGGUGCAGAAGAAAAGCGAUCCUGUAAGUCACUCACUGGCCACCACACAUUUGGCUUGGCAUGUGUGGUACAUGCACGUGAACACACUCAAUAAAUGGUAUAAAGAUUAAAAUAGGAGUUGAAGA